GCUGGUUUUGUGUGACUCUCCUUCCUGAAAGUGUUGAGGCUGGCUGCAGGAACACACACACACACACACACUCACACACACUCCGCUCCCAUUGAAGCAGUGGACACAUUACUGGUGUUGUUGUUUUCGUGUUGGAGCUCGUGAGUCUGCAGUGAAAGCAACAGCACGGAAGAAAACAACAUUACAGGCUUUUGGCUGCAUUCUUGUUUGUGUAUUCAGAGAGGAGUUUGAAAACUGCAGCAUCAAAGUGGGAAUAAAUGUCACCUGGUGCUGGGUUUCCCAUAUCGAGAGGGGGUUGGACCCCUGGGGUGGUUGAGGGACUCCAUCAUCGGGCUCUGCCUCAGUCUGCCAUCUUGUGGUGUGAUGUGGUGAGGGGCUUCUGUGUCUGACAGCACCACCAGAUCAUCUAGCAUCCCCACAGCUCCAUCUACAGGCCUGAAUGUGAUCUCUGGUGACACCUUGUGAUCUCUGGUGACACCUCGUGAUCUCUGGUGACACCUCCUCCUCUCCAGCUAAAGCUUGUACACAGCCUCGGCUAGGACACAGGCUACUUGAAGAAGACGCGCACAUUUACGCAUAUAAAGUACAAUUACACACCUAGUACAAUCUUACAGACUUGGUACACUGUUCUAAACAAGUCACAACGCAAUACAAGUGUUGAUUUACAUACCAUCUUGCUUCCAUUUGAAUUCAAUCCGCUGUUUUCCGGCUCUAUUUCUCCGCGGUGUUGUUUGUGUCUCUCCAGCGCUCUGUGUGUAUUC
rnacentral:lncRNA from 1 species